UUCCCUCGCCGGUCUCCAGCCCCGAUUCGGUAUCGGUGAUCGAGAGUGACGAGCCGUUUGCAAGGAGGCCGGCGAGGCGUUCGCGA
rnacentral:sRNA from 1 species